UGAUGGAUUCGCAAUCACUAGCUUUAAUUUGUUGAUGGGAUAUACUAAUACGAGCUUGAAUGCUAUAAACUGUAUGUUGCUUUGUCGAAAUAACAUCGACAAUAAGAUGAUAUAGCAUUGAGUUUGUAAUGAGUUGUGAUCGACACUUUCUACCUAAAAUCUGUU